rnacentral:rRNA from 1 species
GAUGAACGCUAGCGGCAGGCCUAAUACAUGCAAGUCGAACGGGCGGUAGCAAUACCGCUAGUGGCGCACGGGUGCGUAACGCGUAACCAACCUGCCCAGAUCUGGGGGAUAGCCCGCCGAAAGGCGGAUUAAUACCGCAUAAACCCACAGUGUGGCAUCACAUAAUGGGUAAAGAUUUAUCGGAUCUGGAUGGGGUUGCGUAGCAUUAGCUAGUUGGCGGGGUAAUGGCCCACCAAGGCGACGAUGCUUAGGGGACCUGAGAGGGUGAUCCCCCACACUGGCACUGAGAUACGGGCCAGACUCCUACGGGAGGCAGCAGUGGGGAAUAUUGGGCAAUGGGCGAGAGCCUGACCCAGCCAUGCCGCGUGCCGGAUGAAGGCCUUCUGGGUUGUAAACGGCUUUUCUCAGGGAAGAAAACGGGGAGGCGUCCUCAACUGACGGUACCUGAGGAAUAAGCACCGGCUAACUCCGUG